rnacentral:rRNA from 1 species
GAUGAACGCUGGUGGCGUGCCUAAUACAUGCAAGUCGAGCGAACGGACGAGAAGCUUGCUUCUCUGAUGUUAGCGGCGGACGGGUGAGUAACACGUGGAUAACCUACCUAUAAGACUGGGAUAACUUCGGAAAACCGGAGCUAAUACCGGAUAAUAUUUUGAACCGCAUGGUUCAAAAGUGAAAGACGGUCUUGCUGUCACUUAUAGAUGGAUCCGCGCUGCAUUAGCUAGUUGGUAAGGUAACGGCUUACCAAGGCAACGAUGCAUAGCCGACCUGAGAGGGUGAUCGGCCACACUGGAACUGAGACACGGUCCAGACUCCUACGGGAGGCAGCAGUAGGGAAUCUUCCGCAAAGGGCGAAAGCCUGACGGAGCAACGCCGCGUGAGUGAUGAAGGUCUUCGGAUCGUAAAACUCUGUUAUUAGGGAAGAACAUAUGUGUAAGUAACUGUGCACAUCUUGACGGUACCUAAUCAGAAAGCCACGGCUAACUACGUG